CUAGAUCGUAUAUUUUACAUGGAUAACUGUGGUAAUUCUAGAGCUAAUACAUGCAAUCAGCUCGCUGCCUUGUGCAGCGAGCGCAGUUAUUAGAAUAAAACCAAUCCGGCCUCGGUCGGUAUACUGGUGACUCUGAAUAACCGAAGCGGAGCGCUAAGGUCUCGUACCGGCGCCAGAUCUUUCAAGUGUCUGACUUAUCAGCUUGUAGCGAGGUUAUGUUCCUCGCUUGGCUAUCACGGGUGACGGGGAAUCAGGGUCCGAUUCCGGAGAGGGAGCCUGAGAAACGGCUACCACAUCCAAGGAAGGCAGCAGGCGCGCAAAUUACCCACUCCCGGCACGGGGAGGUAGUGACGAAAAAUAACGAUGCGAGAGCGUAUUUGCUUUUCGUAAUCGGAAUGGGUACACUUUAAAUCCUUUAACGAGGAUCUAUUGGAGGGCAAGUCUGGUGCCAGCAGCCGCGGUAAUUCCAGCUCCAAUAGCGUAUAUUAAAGUUGCUGCGGUUAAAAAGCUCGUAGUUGGAUCCGGGCAGUCGACGCGAGGUGCGGCUUACGUCGCUACUUCGCGCUUCGGCGCCACUAUCCGGCCAUGUCUUGCAUGCUCUUUACUGAGCGUGCUUGGCGACCGGGACGUUUACUUUGAAAAAAUUAGAGUGCUUAAAGCAGGCAUAUGGCCUUGCAUAAUGGUGCAUGGAAUAAUGGAAUAGGACCUCGGUUCUAUUUUGUUGGUUUUCGGAACUCGAGGUAAUGAUUAAGAGGAACAGACGGGGGCAUUCGUAUUGCGGCGUUAGAGGUGAAAUUCUUGGAUCGUCGCAAGACGAACUACUGCGAAAGCAUUUGCCAAGAAUGUUUUCAUUAAUCAAGAACGAAAGUUAGAGGUUCGAAGGCGAUCAGAUACCGCCCUAGUUCUAACCAUAAACGAUGCCAACCAGCGAUCCGUCGGUGUUCAUUCAAUGACUCGACGGGCAGCUUCCGGGAAACCAAAGUGCUUAGGUUCCGGGGGAAGUAUGGUUGCAAAGCUGAAACUAAAGGAAUGACGAAAG
rnacentral:rRNA from 1 species